rnacentral:lncRNA from 1 species
CGGGUUUCAUUUGAGUAAUUAUUUAACAUUGUGCCUACACAACAUGGUUUUUUGGUUGAAAAAAGGAUAAUUGGUCAAGUUAUAGCCUAUUUAGGUUUUAACAAAAUUCAAAAAAUUAAUCACCAAUCAAAAGCAAUUCUCAAAAUAAAGAGAAAGGGUCAAGAUAAACGUCAAAUUUAAGGAGAAGAAAAAGGGAAUUAAUGUGAUCAACCACCCAAAGUUAUAAUGUAAAUUGCAUUACAAAAUAGAAUAAGGGUGAAGCUGAUCAGUGUAUAUUCUAUGUUGCUUCAUGGUUACGA